GAAAGAAAGAGGCAAUUAUUCAAAGAACAUGAUACAGACUAUGACAGAAGCAAAAGUGGGCUGUGGCUAUUUGAAAAUCAGAGCAUCUUUUAAAAGGGAGACGGCAUCUGAACCUUGCCGAGUAGGAAUGUUCCAGAAGUAAGAGAGAUGACUAGGGUUUCAAGAACAAGGACCAGCACCUAUGAAGGCUCUGAGGCACAGACCACUGUGACCUGUGGAGAAGUGCAGACAGUCUUGAUAAGGGGCGGGAGGAACGGACGCAACAAGGAGAAAGGAAGCAACGGAAGGUCUUCGGCUGCUAAAAAAUAAACAUCCACCCGAGGCAUCCAAGAAUUCGCAGUUCAGAUCUGGCCUUCCAGAAAGUCAUGAAGUUCUACUUGUCAAGACAGCAAAGUGAAAGGCACGUUUUGAUUACUACCGACAUUCACAGUCUGGACACGGGUGACAAAUCUAAAAGAUAUUGCCCAUUCGUCCAACUGCCGCUGUCCUGCCAGUAUAUCGUCUGAGAUUACCAUCAGCUAAAUAUUGCAUUGUCUUUGGACAAUUUUCCUACAUUGUGACUCCUCACUACAUUUUCAAUGCUUUUCUAGUCCCAGACAAGCUACAGACUGUUAAUUUACACUUGCUUUUGCCUUGCCUGAGGAAAUUGAAAAUAAAUUUUAAUUUCCUAGUCAAGGGCUACGGGUGCUUUGUGUGGUUUGGAGGAAAAAAAAAUACUGUUAGAUGGAAUUAGGGAAUAUUAGGAGAGUUUCUGAAGUUAGUGAAGGUACACAGUAAUUGAUCACUUGCCCUCAUAGUGAGAGGUCAUUCCAAUGAGCAGAGGUUCUGUCAAUAUCUGAGAUCUGUUUGAUACCUGGCCUCAAUCUGUCGAUCACGCCCAGUAACCAUAUUCAUAGGCUUCAGAUCUGAAUUUUGAAUUGCAUCAGAAGCUUUCCUCUGGCCUCAGAGAUGCCAUUGAGACCAUUCUCAUAGUUAGUCACCACUCACACUACACAAAAUGGAAGAAAAAAACUUCCUUUGGGGCAAAUCAACAAUCUCUGGUAGGAAAAUAAACAAGGAUGCUUUCAGAAUACCAGAAGCCCAAGUCUGAGCAUCUGGAGGCAAAGGAAGAGUAGAGAAGUCUUUGUUGGUGGGACCACUGCCUGUAGGAAUUUAAGGGAACUUGGAUCUUAGGAGUUGCUCAGUUAAGUCCUAGAGAGAGCCUAAGUGGGACUGAUGAGAAGCAGAACAAAUUGCUAUUUCUGAGAAGAAAAACCAACACUUUUGGAUGUUAACUUUUGGAUGUUUGAAUUUUUUGUUUUAGUUUUUAUUCCUUUUGGGAAAAGCUAUUUUUAUCGCAAAAAAAUAUGUAAAGCUAGCAACAAAAUAGUUGAAAGUAUUUAUUGUGUACCUACUGUGUGAUAAUAGCAGCUGGGUUUCAAACACAAGUGAAUAUGAAAUAAAUGAGCCCUAGAUGCACAAAAA
rnacentral:lncRNA from 10 species